AAAAAAAAAAAAUAAUACAAAUAUUUAGAAAUUUAAAUGACGAACAAUACCUUUUCAAUUGCAAUCGGUAAAAAAGAACAAUUUUAAAAUUGUAUAUGUAUUAAUUAAUUUUGAAAAUUUGACAACCCAACAAUGCGUUAUAAGGAUAGUGCCAACAUUUAACAGCGUUGUUUAUCCGUGGGUAAUCGUUUAUUAUUAUAACAUUUCUACAUUUCUACAUUUCUACAUUUCUAUGAAAAUAAUAGUUUUUGUCUUCUACUACGAAUCCA